rnacentral:rRNA from 1 species
GAUGUAUUAGGAUUAUAACUAUGUUAAAUUAUAGAUAACAAUAAUACAAUAAGAAUAAGAUCUAUCAGUUAGUUGUUAAGGUAAUGGCUUAACAAGACUAUGACGGAUAACGGUAUUACUUUGUAAUAUUCCGGAGAAGGAGCCUGAGAGAUUGCUACUAAGUCUAAGGAUUGCAGCAGGGGCGAAACUUGACCUAUGAUAUGAUAUUGAGGCAGUUAUGAGUAGUAUUUUUAAUUAUUGUAGUAUUGUAAGUAUAUACUACAAGAUAAAUCGGAGGGCAAAUCGAGUGCCAGCAGCCGCGGUAAUACUUGUUCCGAUAGUGUGUAUGAUGAUUGAUGCAGUUAAAAAGUCUGUAGUUUAUUAUUAAUAAGCAUUGUGAGGUAUAUUGUAUGGUUAGGAGAGAGAUGAAAUGUGAUAACCCUAACUGGAUGAACAGAAGCGAAAGCUAUAUACUUAAAUGUUUUAUUAGAACAAGGACGUAAGCUAGAGGAUCGAAGAUGAUUAGAUACCAUUGUAGUUCUAGCAGUAAACUAUGUUAAAUCAUAGAUACAUUAUUAAUAUGUAUUUAUGUAAAGAAAUUAAGAUUAUAUUGACUCUGGGGAUAGUAUGAUCGCAAGAUUGAAAAUUAAAGAAAUUGACGGAAGAAUACCACAAGGAGUGGA